rnacentral:rRNA from 1 species
UACAGAGGGGGCGAGCGUUGUUCGGAAUUACUGGGCGUAAAGGGCGCGUAGGCGGCCCGCUAAGUCGAACGUGAAAUCCCCAGGCUCAACCUGGGAACUGCGUCCGAUACUGGCAGGCUUGAAUCCGGGAGAGGGAUGUGGAAUUCCAGGUGUAGCGGUGAAAUGCGUAGAUAUCUGGAGGAACACCGGUGGCGAAGGCGCACACCUGGCCCGAUACUGACGCUGAGGCGCGAAAGCUAGGGGAGCAAACGGG